GCGUACGUGGUGUAUGGAACACCGCUGCAUUGGAUAACCGUCUACUACUGCCUGCCCUGCAGCUGAUUGGGGUUCAACUCCCCGCGUACGCG